AUAGGUUUUUAUUCAAUUAAAACUAAAGCACUAUCAUGUCGUUGUAGUACUGAAGGUUGUCAAUCCAAAUGGGUGUGAUGCUAACAAUCAAGAUGUGAUCAGAAGUUACUAAGUCAAGCCAAGCAAUAACAGGUUUUGGUGUGUUCUAGCAAUCCCAAGUGAACAUGCAGAAAGCAGAAAAUUAAACAGAAACAGUAAAACACUCGACCAACACAGCUCUUUGCAGAGCACUGGGUGAGGUCGAGUGAAAGGUCGAGUAACAGACAGAAAAUAAAACACAGAUACUCGACUGCACAGUCUGUUGCCAGACAACUGGGUGGUCGAGUAUGAGGUCGAGUAACCAGAAAGAAUU
rnacentral:sRNA from 1 species